rnacentral:rRNA from 1 species
UACGUAGGGCGCAAGCGUUGUCCGGAAUUAUUGGGCGUAAAGAGCUCGUAGGCGGCUUGUCACGUCGAUUGUGAAAGCCCGAGGCUUAACCUCGGGUCUGCAGUCGAUACGGGCUAGCUAGAGUGUGGUAGGGGAGAUCGGAAUUCCUGGUGUAGCGGUGAAAUGCGCAGAUAUCAGGAAGAACACCGAUGGCGAAGGCAGCUCUCUGGGACGGUACUGACGCUGAGACGCGAAAGCGUGGGGAGCGAACAGG